rnacentral:rRNA from 1 species
GACAGAGGGGGCAAGCGUUGCUCGGAAUCACUGGGCGUAAAGGGCGCGUAGGCGGGAUGGCAAGUCAGUCGUGAAAUCUCUCGGCUCAACCGAGAAACGUCGGCUGAUACUGCCGUUCUUGAGGGAUGCAGAGGAGACUGGAAUUCCCGGUGUAGUGGUGAAAUGCGUAGAUAUCGGGAGGAACACCAGUGGCGAAGGCGACUACCUGGCCUGUUCUUGACGCUGAGGCGCGAAAGCUAGGGGAGCAAACGGG